CUACGGGAGGCAGCAGUGAGGAAUAUUGCACAAUGGGCGAAAGCCUGAUGCAGCGACGCCGCGUGGGUGAAGAAGGUCUUCGGAUCGUAAAGCCCUUUUCUGCGUGACGAGGAAGGACGGUAGCGCAGGAAUAAGUCUCGGCUAACUACGUGCCAGCAGCCGCGGUAAAACGUAGGAGACAAACGUUAUCCGGAGUUACUGGGCGUAAAGGGCGUGCAGGCGGUUUCUUAAGUUCGUCGUGAAAUCGCCCGGCUUAACCGGGCGGGGUCGAUGGAUACUGGGGAACUAGAUGGCGGUAGAGGCGUGUGGAAUUCCGGGUGUAGUGGUGAAAUGCGUAGAUAUCCGGAGGAACACCAGUGGCGAAGGCGACACGCUGGGCCGUACCUGACGCUAAGACGCGACAGCAUGGGGAGCGAACGGGAUUAGAAACCCUGGUAGUCC
rnacentral:rRNA from 1 species